rnacentral:rRNA from 1 species
GGUCAAGUUAUUAAGGGUGCAGGGCGGAUGCCUUGGCACUAGGAGCCGAUGAAGGACGUGAUAAGCUGCGAUAAGCUUCGGGGAGUUGCACGUAAACUUUGAUCCGAAGAUUUCCGAAUGAGGAAACUCACUUAGAGUAAUGUCUAAGUAUCAUUAAGUGAAUACAUAGCUUAAUGAGGGGAACUCAGGGAACUGAAACAUCUAAGUACCUGAAGGAAGAGAAAGAAAUUCGAUUCCGUAAGUAGCGGCGAGCGAACGCGGAUUAGCCCAAACCAAUAAAGUUUUCUUUAUUGGGGUUGCGGACAUAUCAUAACGAAGAGGUAUCGUAAUUGAAGAGGUUUGGAAAGACCCACCACAGAAGGUAAUAGUCCUGUAUGUUAAACGAGAAGACUUCAGAUAUGAUCCAGAGUACCACGGGACACGUGAAACCCUGUGGGAAGCAGGAGGGACCACCCUCCAAGGCUAAAUACUACCUAGUGACCGAUAGCGUAUAGUACCGUGAGGGAAAGGUGAAAAGAACCCCGGGAGGGGAGUGAAAUAGAACCUGAAACCCUGCACUUACAAGCUGUGGAAGCACAUUUCUUGUGUGACCGCGUACUUUUUGUAGAACGGGCCAACGAGUUACGUUAAGUAGCAAGGUUAAGCACUUAAGGUGCGGAGCCGUAGCGAAAGCGAGUUUUAACUGAGCGUUCAGUUACUUGACGUAGACCCGAAACCGGGCGACCUACCCAUGAGCAGGAUGAAGCGAAAGUAAAAUUUCGUGGAGGUCCGAACCCACGAGCGUUGAAAAGCUCGGGGAUGACUUGUGGGUAGCGGUGAAAUUCCAAUCGAGCCCGGAGAUAGCUGGUUCUCCCCGAAAUAGCUUUAGGGCUAGCCUCAAGGUGAGAGAUACGGAGGUAGAGCACUGAAUGUCCUAGGGGGUAUUGCACCUACCGAAGACUAUCAAACUCCGAAUGCCGUCAUCUUAUACUUGGGAGUCAGACUGUGGGUGAUAAGAUUCAUAGUCGAAAGGGCAACAGCCCAGAUCGUCAGCUAAGGUCCCUAAAUGUAAGUUAAGUGGUAAAGGAUGUGGGAUUGCACAGACAACCAGGAUGUUGGCUUAGAAGCAGCCACUCAUUCAAAGAGUGCGUAAUAGCUCACUGGUCGAGUGAUCCUGCGCCGAAGAUUUCCGGGGCUAAAACUUACUACCGAAGCUACGGCAUCAGUAAUGAUGGGUAGGGGAGCUUCCCAUACGG